AUGCGGCCCUGGGUGAACAGCAGGAACCCCUUGCAGGUGGAGGGAGGCCGGGGCUGCCUGUCCCUGCGCCCUGAAGCUGGCCAGCGGUUGUGGAAACUGGGGGACGUUGAGGGAACGGUACACCUAGGUCCUCAGCCCCAGUGUGGAACCUGGCGAUCCCAGGGCCUGGGCUGGCUCCCCGCGUCGUGGGACCGGAAAGGCGCGGCGGCGCUGCGGAGAAUUGCAGGGAAGAAGGCGGGCUCCGGUGGAGGUGGCUCAUCCCCGCACGGUCACUGCCCUCGCCCGCUGUUGGGUUGCCGACACGUGGAACCUGAGGCAGCAGGACAGCCUGGCGUUGGCCACGGGACAUUGGCCACAGCCAUAGCAACUUCGGCAUCAAAUGGGGCAGGAGAGAGAACAUUAAGGUAUCGUUCAAAGAACACUAGUGUCUUAGAUACUUCUGUAUGCCUCUUCUUUAUCUCAUCCUAAAAGAUCUUCGCAGGGUCCCAUUAGGGCAAAACCAGAACCUUCUGCAUGGUUAUAAAGGCAGGGUGGGCAUGCCGUUCUGGGCAUUUAAAGUGCAGACUCUAGACUUGUAUGCAUGCGUAGCCUCCUAGGUUAAGAUUUAAAAUAGGCUCUGGGAAACCUACUUUGGUAAUAGGGAGACUGGGGACACUGAUGGUGACUUGAUUCUAGGAUGGGAUGAAGGUAGCGAGGAUGGGAAGCAAGACGAGGCUAACCUAUGGGGUGUCUCGAUGGCUUCUGAAAAGGGCCUGUCUGCCCCCCAGUACUAAUACUUGUUAUACCGUGAACUUCAGCUGCUCUUGAUGGGAGAGGAGAGAGAAGAUUAUUGUUAACAAACACUGUUGCAGACAGUGCGCCUGCUGUCACAUUUAGUCUUCACAACAACCCUGCAGGAUGGGGAUUUACUUCUGUUUUGCAGAUUGGAGAAACUGAGGCUCAAAGAAGUUAGGGGUCCACCUGUGAGCACAUGCACAGGAAGGGGAAGAGCCGCCAUUGGAAGCAGAGCCCUGCCCCUUCCUCCUCACACCUGGCUCCCUGGGAGGCCCCUCCUCUGGCCUCGUACACAGCAUUGUGACAGGCAGUAUGGAAGCCUCUUUCCCGCAGUACUCCCCUCAGAGCCCUUCCUUCUGAGCUGGGAAGGCCAGGUUGUAGUUGGCCAGGUCAGUUCCUUGGGGUUCUGAAUUAGCAACUUUCAGCCGUGUGUUCUUUGACAUUUCUGAGCUUCUCCAGGCCUCAGUUUUGUCACCUGCCACUUUUGGAGGGGGAAGGGGGAAGGGAACCAGUAGCCCACCACAGGGGUCUCUGGGUGCUGGGCAGCCCUCUGGUGAGACAGGCAUAGUGGGAUGCUCGUUGCUGAUGGCUUCUCAGUGGGUCUUGGUGGGGGUCUGAGGACCUCAUUCCACCUGUCUCCUCAGGGGCCAGAGGCUGCUGGCCUGGCUGUUUGUGGCCCCCUCCCUGGGAGGGUGGUGGGUUUGGCCAGAAGCUGUGUAGGUGUCCAGAUGGGCCUUCCCUGGGGUCUUGGACCUGCAAAUGAGUGGUUUUCUCCCUGCCAGGGGCCGUCCCAGUCAGGAGGAACACCUCCCGCCCUCCUCAUUCUUGCAGCCUCAGGAGCUGCUAAGAAGCAGUUGGGCAGGUGGGGAUCCACUCAGUGACUUGUUCCAUGGCAUGUCAUGAGCACGAUUGGCAGGGCCAGGCCAGAUCAGUAAAAAGGUCGAGAGCUGUGAGGCACAGGCCUGCUCAGUGCUCGAAGGGGAGAGGAGCUCAGAUGUCCCUGAGCUGUGUGCCCUUGGGGGUCACUAAGCCUCUCUGAGCUUAUGGAAUUCUCCUGUCUGUAGAAUGGAGAUAAUGACUGUCUCAAGAGGUUGCUUGCACAGUUACAUGAGACAAUGUGUGCAAAGGAUGUGGCACAUGCCUGGCCCUUGGCGAGUGAUCAGGCCCUGGCAGCUGUUAUUACCAUCGCUGUUACAGGCUUUAUUGCCCUCCUUUGUUUGUAUGUCCAUCUUAGAGCUCAUUGAGGGCAGGGUCUGGGUCAGAACCCUCUCUUGGCUACUCCUCCUUUUCCUGAUCCUCCCAGGGACAAGUCUGGUUUCAGCCCCGUGAAGCAGCUGGGAUGGGACAUCCUUACCAGGCUGAGGCUGUGUUCAGAGCUGCACAGUCCAGUACAGUAGCCAUUAGCCUCAUGUGGCCAGUUAGAUCCAAAUAAAACUUAAACAUUCAGUGUCUCAGUUGCAGUGGCCCCCUGCCGAGUGCUUGGUACCCACAUGCCAUUGGUACCUACCUAUUAGCACAGGGUAGAAUCUUUCCAUCAUUACAGGAAGUUGUGCAGCGCUGGAGUCUCAGGGACUAUAGCACCAGUAUCAUCCUCACUGUGGCUCAACAGCCACCAGCCGUCUCCUGAGUGCUGGGCUGCCAAGACAUUUGUAAUUACACAGAAACCGAGUCCCACAGCCCUUCCCGAAUUUCCUCUUGGGUAGCCUUGCUCACCUGGCCGGGGAGGUUGUUUCCUGGCAGUCCUUAUCAGCUUAGGGUGGGAGGGCAGGACUGGGAUUGCACAAAUGCAGCUGCUGCCUCCUGUCCCCACCCUGUUUCUCCAGCCUCUCCUGCCUGUCAAGGAGCCCCAGAGUGCUCUUCCUAAUUCACUGCUGUGGCCAGGGCCAAGGUGACCCAGACACUUUGACCCCAGUGCUCCCCUCAUGCCUCUUUCCUCCUGCCCACCCUGCUCUCCACCUGAACACGUUCUUGCUUCUCUCACUCCAGGCCUGACUUAUGUGGCUGGUCCUCCGGGAAGCCUUUUCUCAUCUCUCACCCUAAGUGAGCUCUCCUGCCUCGGCGGGGCCCUCCCUCAGACCCCAUUUUUGGCACUCAGCGCCCUCCUCUGUGGGUGUGUUCUUAUAUUUGCUUGUUCUCUUGGUUAGGUACACAGGAGAUAUUCUCUGAGUGCCAACUACAUGUCAGGUCAGUGCUGGGUGUUGGACAGCCAGAGGGGAGCAGGCCUCAGGCCAGGCUUUGCCAACUUCAGGCUGGUGGGGAGGCUGACAGUUGGCCAAACUGUUCCAUCCAGGCCCAGUGCUUGGUCAGGGAUGAAGGCUGCCUGGCUGGAGAGUCAGGAAAGGGGCCCCAGGAAGAGACGCUGAGGUGGAGAGGGUCAGAGCUGCCCUAGGCUGCAGCUGGGUCAGGGGCCAGGGUAGUCUUUAUGGCUGGGGGAAGUGAC
ensembl:lncRNA